rnacentral:lncRNA from 1 species
AGAUGGGAAAACAUUGGACAAUGAGUUGGAGGUUGUUGAGGGAAUGAAGCUAGACAGGGGCUACAUAUCCCCUUAUUUCAUCACCAACCAGAACAAUCAGAAAUGUGUAAGUUUUAGUUUGACUCAGUGAUAACUAUGUCUUGAAACUGUUAGAGGGCUGCUUGUUAAAGUUAGCAGCACCUCAAGUCCCUUUUUGCUUGAUGAUGAUUAUCUUCAAACUUGUGUAUGUGCUGAUAGGAAUUGGAAAAUCCUCUAAUCAUAAUCCAUGAGAAGAAAAUCUCAAGUAUUAAUGAUGUGGUUAAAGUAUUGGAGUUGGUUUUGCAGGUUAGCAUUUCUCUGGUUAGGUUCACUAGUUUCUUCGUUUUUACUAUGAAUUGGUUGACAAACUUUUGCUCCUUUUCAGAAGCAAAGGUCUUUGCAUUUUGUUAUAUAUUUCAGAACCAAAGUUAUAAAAGAAAAUGGUUUUCCUCUUUGUUAAUUGAGAAUCAUCUGCAGUUAUGAUUUCAGAUCUGUAGAUAACCUGUUGUUGCUGAUAUUGCUACACGGGAGGAGAACAGAACAACUUGGAAAAUGUGCAAGAAGGGAGAGCUAACUCAUACAACGAAGAACAAAUUGAUGAAGUUAAGAUCAAAAUUAGUAGAAUUUGUGAGCUCUCCAUUAUUUAUAAUUAUAGGUAGGAAGUAUGUAUGUAAUAGAGCAAAGAUUGGUUGACUAUGUAAUAACAAUUGAAUUGUCAAGUUUUAUGAAAGAAAUAAUUUUUGCUUCUUGGGAUAGUAUUGUUAGGGUUCGGUGGCGAUUUAUUUUCCAUGUCUAAAUUGUAGUCUGUAAUGGAUGUGUGUGUAUUGUAUGUAGAUUGACU